CUUAACUUACCCUAGCCCUACAGCUAACCCUACUGCAACUCUAAGUAUAUUUCUACCCUACAUUACCCCUAAUUCGAACCAUACCCCUAUCCUAACCUUAAAACUCCCCCACUGUGUGGUAUUCUGUCGGCAUCUACUGGCUGGUUUACAGCCGAUUGUAUAGAGAUCUGUACUGGGAAGCUGGCACCGGUGCAUAUUGUCCGGGGACAGGCUGGAAGAACCUGGAGGGUCUCCCUAAAGCUGUCUGCACCUCACAAAAACCGCAGCUGAGAGCAAUCGCCUAUCCGUGUUUUUUAUGAAUGAGUUGAAGGGCUCUGUG